UCGAGCGCAUCAGAUGAGAAGCUUGCUUCUCUGAUGUUAGCGGCGGACGGGUGAGUAACACGUGGGUAACCUACCUAUAAGACUGGGAUAACUCCGGGAAACCGGGGCUAAUACCGGAUAAUAUUUUGAACCGCAUGGUUCAAUAGUGAAAGACGGUUUCGGCUGUCACUUAUAGAUGGACCCGCGCCGUAUUAGCUAGUUGGUAAGGUAACGGCUUACCAAGGCGACGAUACGUAGCCGACCUGAGAGGGUGAUCGGCCACACUGGAACUGAGACACGGUCCAGACUCCUACGGGAGGCAGCAGUAGGGAAUCUUCCGCAAUGGGCGAAAGCCUGACGGAGCAACGCCGCGUGAGUGAUGAAGGUCUUCGGAUCGUAAAACUCUGUUGUUAGGGAAGAACAAAUUUGUUAGUAACUGAACAAGUCUUGACGGUACCUAACCAGAAAGCCACGGCUAACUACGUGCCAGCAGCCGCGGUAAUACGUAGGUGGCAAGCGUUAUCCGGAAUUAUUGGGCGUAAAGCGCGCGUAGGCGGUUUCUUAAGUCUGAUGUGAAAGCCCACGGCUCAACCGUGGAGGGUCAUUGGAAACUGGGAAACUUGAGUGCAGAAGAGGAGAGUGGAAUUCCAUGUGUAGCGGUGAAAUGCGCAGAGAUAUGGAGGAACACCAGUGGCGAAGGCGGCUCUCUGGUCUGUAACUGACGCUGAUGUGCGAAAGCGUGGGGAUCAAACAGGAUUAGAUACCCUGGUAGUCCACGCCGUAAACGAUGAGUGCUAAGUGUUAGGGGGUUUCCGCCCCUUAGUGCUGCAGCUAACGCAUUAAGCACUCCGCCUGGGGAGUACGACCGCAAGGUUGAAACUCAAAGGAAUUGACGGGGACCCGCACAAGCGGUGGAGCAUGUGGUUUAAUUCGAAGCAACGCGAAGAACCUUACCAAAUCUUGACAUCCUUUGACCGCUCUAGAGAUAGAGUCUUCCCCUUCGGGGGACAAAGUGACAGGUGGUGCAUGGUUGUCGUCAGCUCGUGUCGUGAGAUGUUGGGUUAAGUCCCGCAACGAGCGCAACCCUUAAGCUUAGUUGCCAUCAUUAAGUUGGGCACUCUAGGUUGACUGCCGGUGACAAACCGGAGGAAGGUGGGGAUGACGUCAAAUCAUCAUGCCCCUUAUGAUUUGGGCUACACACGUGCUACAAUGGAUAAUACAAAGGGCAGCGAAUCCGCGAGGCCAAGCAAAUCCCAUAAAAUUAUUCUCAGUUCGGAUUGUAGUCUGCAACUCGACUACAUGAAGCUGGAAUCGCUAGUAAUCGUAGAUCAGCAUGCUACGGUGAAUACGUUCCCGGGUCUUGUACACACCGCCCGUCACACCACGAGAGUUUGUAACACCCGAAGCCGGUGGAGUAACCUUUUAGG
rnacentral:rRNA from 1 species